rnacentral:rRNA from 1 species
GAUGAACGCUAGCGGCAGGCCUAAUACAUGCAAGUCGAACGGUGGUAGCGAUACCAUAGUGGCACACGGGUGCGUAACACGUAUGCAACCUACCUUAUGCUUAGGGAUAGCCUCUGGAAACGGAGAUUAAUACCUAAUAGUACAUUGACUUGGCAUCGGGUUAAUGUUAAAGAUUUAUUGGUAUAAGAUGGGCAUGCGUCCAAUUAGUUAGUUGGUGAGGUAACGGCUCAGCAAGACGAUGAUUGGUAGGGGAACUGAGAGGUUAAUCCCCCACACUGGCACUGAGAUACGGGCCAGACUCCUACGGGAGGAAGCAGUAGGGAAUAUUGGGCAAUGGAGGCAACUCUGACCCAGCCAUGCCGCGUGCAGGAUGAAGGCGUUAUGCGUUGUAAACUGCUUUUAUGUAGGAAGAAACAGACCUUGCGAGGUAGAUUGACGGUACUAUAUGAAUAAGCACCGGCUAACUCCGUGCCAGCAGCCGCCGUAAAAC